UGACAGGUUCCAGUGAGGCUGCAGCCCGUCAGCCGGCAUGCCAGAGGGCGCUAUCUCAACUGGCUCCUUUUAUUGGCUGAUGUGGUCCUGUGACCCCAACCGGCAGCACUGAGGAGGCGGUGCAUUGGCUCCAGAUUCUGUUGGAUGGGGCAUGCCUUACAUCUGCUAACUCCGCCCUUUAAGGUAUAGUAUGCAGACUCAAGGUCAGGGGAAUAAGAAAACCAUUAGAGCUCAACUCAGCCAGCGCUUACUGGGCCUACUGGGGAAGGACGAGAUGGACUCCAGCAGAGGUACCUCAGUGAGAAACGUUCUAGAUGAGUGAUUUGUGAAGAGAGGUCUGGAGAAACCUGGGUUUGAGGACAACACUUCUGGGACCAAAGUCACCUUCUCCACCCCUCUACUCU